rfam:Simkania negevensis Z main chromosome, complete genome
GCACCGGUAGCUCAAUUGGAUAGAGUACCUGGCUACGGACCAGGAGGUUAGAGGUUCGAGUCCUCUCCGGUGCA